rnacentral:rRNA from 1 species
UACGGGGGGGGCAAGCGUUGUUCGGAAUUACUGGGCGUAAAGGGCUCGUAGGCGGCCAACUAAGUCAGACGUGAAAUCCCUCGGCUUAACCGGGGAACUGCGUCUGAUACUGGAUGGCUUGAGUGUGGGAGAGGAAUGCGGAAUUCCAGGUGUAGCGGUGAAAUGCGUAGAUAUCUGGAGGAACACCGGUGGCGAAGGCGGCAUUCUGGACCAUUACUGACGCUGAGGAGCGAAAGCCAGGGGAGCAAACGGGG